rnacentral:rRNA from 1 species
AUGCGGAGGAUCCGAGCGUUAUCCGGAUUUAUUGGGUUUAAAGGGUGCGCAGGCGGCCAUUUAAGUCAGCGGUUAAAUCGUGGGGCUCAACCCCAUUCUGCCGUUGAUACUGGGUGGCUUGAUUGCGGUCGAGGUUGGCGGAAUUCGUUGUGCAGCGGGGAAAUGCAUAGAUAUGACGAAGAACACCGAUUGCGUAGGCAGCUGACCAGACCGCAAAUGACGCUCAUGCACGAAAGUGCGGGGAUCGAACAGGAUUAGAUACCCUGGUAGUCCGCACAGUAAACGAUGAAUACUUGUUUUCGGCGAUAUAAUGUCGGAGGCAAAGCGAAAGCGAUAAGUAUUCCACCUGGGGAGUACGCCGGCAACGGUGAAACUCAAAUGAAUUGACGGGG